rnacentral:rRNA from 1 species
AACGUAGGAGGCAAGCGUUAUCCGGAGUUACUGGGCGUAAAGCGCGUGUAGGUGGCUCGGUAAGUUACUUAUAAAAGCUCCUGGCUAAACUAGGAGAGGUUGAGUGAUACUGCCAGUCUUGAAUAGAGGAGAGGUUGACGGAAUUCCGCGUGUAGUGGUGAAAUGCGUAGAGAUGCGGAAGAACACCAGUGGCGAAGGCGGUCAACUGGCCUGAGAUUGACACUCAGACGCGAAGGCAUGGGUAGCGAACGGG